AACAUCGCCUCUUGCUGAAAACCAAGAAUAAGAGGUCCCGCCUGCCCUGUGACUAUAAGUUUAACGGCCGCGGUAUUUUGACCGUGCAAAGGUAGCGCAAUCACUUGUCUUUUAAAUGAAGACCUGUAUGAAUGGCACAACGAGGGCUUAGCUGUCUCCUUUUUCCAGUCAAUGAAAUUGAUCUCCCCGUGCAGAAGCGAGGAUAAAACCAUAAGACGAGAAGACCCUAUGGAGCUUUAGACGCCAGAAUAAAUCAUGUCAAAUACCCCCAAAUACAGGGCCGAACUAAAUGAGCAUUAUUCCAUGUCUUUGGUUGGGGCGACCGCGGGGAAAUAAAAAACCCCCACGUGGACUGGAAUUAUGCUAUUCCACAACUAAGAGCCCCCGCUCUAGUUAACAGAAUUUCUGACCAACAAAGAUCCGGCAACGCCGAUCAACGGACCGAGUUACCCUAGGGAUAACAGCGCAAUCCUCUUUUAGAGCCCAUAUCGACAAGAGGGUUUACGACCUCGAUGUUGGAUCAGGACAUCCUAAUGGUGCAGCCGCUAUUAAGGGUUCGUUUGUUCAACGAUUAAAGUCCUACGUGAUCUGA
rnacentral:rRNA from 1 species